CUCACCCGCACGCAGCGCUCAGCGCCUGCGUGGCAUCGGGGACCCCGCCCGCGACUGUGCCCAGCGACGAGCUGCAGCUGCAUAGUGAAGUCCACCCGGUCACGGACACCGGGGUCAGCCAGGCCCAGCGUCUGUCUGUCCAGAGGCCUCUCGUGUCUCUGCGAGCAACGUGUUCCACUUACUUCAAAAAAGAAGAACAAGCCGGUCAAAGGAGACAAUCGUACCUCCAAACCAGGCAGAACAUUCCUUUCGUGUAUGAUUUUGUCCGUCACUGUGCACGAAUAUGAGUGACAGCGUAGCCUGAUGAAGUCAUCGCCGGCCACGCUCCCGAGAACCCGACCGAACAGCGCUGCCGGUGGAGACACUUGAAUGGAAGGUGUCGUGCGCGUUGCCCGUGGACGUGGGACCUCUCCCCGCCCUGCUCUGAAGCGUCCUCACGUAAGCGCAGGGGACGACAUGUCCGUCGAGUCCUCCCGUCCGCGGGCACGCGUCCUUCCAUCGACACAGGUUUCCUGCGGUUCCCUUCAGCAACGUGUCGUGGUGGUCGGUGUCAAGCCUCCCCCCUCCCAGGAGCAGACACGUCAGCGUCCCUCUCUGUCACAGCCCAGAGACACCCUCGCUGCUUCCAGCCGUCCGAUGUGAUCGCCGAACGAAAGCGCCGAGGGCGAGAACCAAGGACGCCGGGCACAACUUCAGGGCACCGCCGCUCAGUUCCGCACUUAGCCGUGGGACGACUGCGUCAGUCUGAGGGACAGACAGCUGGGCCGUUCGCAGCCCACCAGCCGGGGGCAGAGCCCUGGAUCCCCGCGCCUUUGCCGACGCCCGUUAUUUACAGGUGUUGCUGUCGGGACUUAUCGGCGUCGUCUCCUGGAAGAGGCCCCUGUCCCUCGUGGUAA